ensembl:lncRNA LINC01036 long intergenic non-protein coding RNA 1036
CUGCCUCAGCCUCCUGAGUAGCCGGACUACAGGCGCCGGCCACCCCACCGCGCUAAUUUUUUUGUAUUUUUUAGUAGAGACGGGGUUUUGUGUCCGGAAUUGGUGGGUUCUUGGUCUCACUGACUUCAAGAAUGAAGCCGCGGACCCUCGCAGUGAGUGCUACAGCUUUUAAGGUGGCGCCUUUGGAGUUUGUUCCUUCUGAUGUUCGGAUGUGUUCGGAGUUUCUUCCUUCUGGUGGGUUCGUGAUCUCGCUGGCUCAGGAGUGAAGCUGCAGACCUUCACGGGGAGUGUUACAGCUCUUAAGGUGGCACAUCUGGAGUUUGUUCCUUCUGACGUUCAGAUGUGUUCGGAGUUUCUUCCUUCUGGUGGGUUCGUGAUCUCGCUGGCUCAGGAGUGAAGCUGCAGACCUUCAGGGGGAGUGUUACAGCUCUUAAGGUGGCGCGUCUGGAGUUUCUUCCUUCUGGUGGGUUCGUGAUCUCGCUGGCUCAGGAGUGAAGCUGCAGACCUUCACGGAUCUCGCUGUGUUGCCCGGGCUGGUCUCAAACUUCUGGACACAAACAAUCCUCCACAUUGGCCUCCCAAAAUGCUGGAAUUACAGGUGUGAGCCACUGGACCAGCAGGACUCUAAAUUUUGGAGAUUGUAAAAUCAGGAAGUAUAUCUAAGUCACCUCCAGUAGCCGUAACUCUACCUUGUCCAGUAAAAGUGCUGCUUGUUGCUGACGUUUCUGCCCAAACAUCAUGAAAUGUGGAGAAGAAAGAACACUCAGAUGUGCCCUGGAGACUUUCCUUUUAUUUUUAAACAGACAUACUUGCAACCAGAGUCAUCAAUUUUGAAGACAGCAACCAAGCCAAGCAAUGUGAGGUUACAGCUAUGAAAUAGAACAGAGAUGUCUAGACUAUAGACACAGCCUGCCGUUUUGUGCUGAUUGGUAAAGUGUUCCAGCCAACUGGAAGCAAAUAUUUCUCAGAAGCAGUUUCCUGCUCUCAUCCUCUCCUCGCCAUGCCCACUGUGCCCAACAUGGCUCCAGCUGGGUCACAGAAGACUUUGUCCUGGAAUACAGCAUUUCCCUAUUUAAAUCUCUAACUUUGUAUGUACUCUUUUCAAUAAAAGCAUAUUUUUCAUUACCA